UACGAAAGGUGCAAGCGUUACUCGGAAUCACUGGGCGUAAAGCGCACGUAGGCGGACUCGUAGGUCAAUUGUGAAAUACCUGGGCUCAACCCGGGAACUGCAGUUGAAACCGCUUGUCUUGAAUACCUGAGAGGGUGGGGGAAUACCUGGUGGAGAAGUGAAAUUCGUAGAGAUCAGGUGGAACACCAGUGGCGAAGGCGGCUCACUGGUCCGGUACUGACGCUGAGGUGCGAAAGCGUGGGGAGCAAACAGG
rnacentral:rRNA from 1 species